UGUUCAUGUGCUCUUCCUCUCACCUGACCUGCAUUACCCUUGUUAGCCCUAUCCUGCUCUUUGUCUUCCCCACACCUGUCCUGUAUCAGUCUCAUCAGUCCUGCCCUGCUCCCUGUGUUUCCCUCAGCCUAUCAGCUCCCAGCCUGCCCUUGUGUCCAGUCACCUGUUCCCCAUUUGCUCAUUAGCUCAGUUUGUAUUUUACGAUACAAAAAUUUCCAAUUUUAGCCCUGGUUUUCUGUUCAGUCUCUGUUGGAUCCUCUGUUUUGUUCUGUUUAGAUGCCUGCCUGCACUCCUGUUUGCUGUUCCGUCAGCUUUCAUUUAUGCUGCUCACUCCAAAUAAAGAGUUCUCUUCAGACCCGCUUCACCUUAGAUCAAGUGUUGAUGAAGGACUGAGAUGCACCGGAGGCAUUGGACGACGUAUUGUAACCAUCUGAAAAAACAGUGACAAAACAAUAUGAUUCAGUCAGUGGCAAAACAAAACAACUGAUACUAAAAGAAGAGGCUGUACUUUUAAAUGUUCCGGAAAAAGCCCAAUCCACUUGAUGAUGAGAUUCCAGCGCUGGUGGUCUAAUAUCAAGAAUAAAGGCGAAAACAUGAAUUGCCAC